UACGUAGGGACCAAGCGUUGUUCGGAUUUACUGGGCGUAAAGGGCGCGUAGGCGGCAAUUCAAGUCAGUUGUGAAAUCUCCGAGCUUAACUCGGAACGGUCAACUGAUACUGCUUUGCUAGAGUACAGAAGGGCAAUCGGAAUUCUUGGUGUAGCGGUGAAAUGCGUAGAUAUCAAGAGGAACACCUGAGGUGAAGACGGGUUGCUGGGCUGAUACUGACGCUGAGGCGCGAAAGCUAGGGUAGCAAACGGG
rnacentral:rRNA from 1 species